rnacentral:lncRNA from 1 species
UCCUUUAUCUUAUAAAUCACAAGUCACUUGACCAAUAAAAUUUUGACACAUAGCUUUUGUUUAUAUUUAAUAAUUUAAUAAAAAUAAAUCAAGCAAAACAGUUCGACGCAUGAUUUUCACUAACAAAACAAUUCUAUUUUCAAUCCACGAUCCCCCAUUUCCCUAUAUUUCAGGGAGAGAAGUUUAUCUUUUCUCAACUAUAAAAUUCUCCGGAAAUGCAUAACUAUCCAAAAAAAAAACUCCAAAUUUUUGUUUU